UUUUACAACAUUUUUUAGAAAUGCAAAAACAUAUCAAAGUUCGAGGAGUACGCAAAGAUAUCGUUAAAUGAAACAUAUAUUUAAUUAACUAUAUAAUUAAUUUAUAAACUUAAAUAAUUAAAUUAUUACUAAAUUAAAUUACAUAUUAUAAACAAUUCAGUUAAUUGACUUGAAGCUAAAAAUCAUAUUAUAAUAUAUUUUUCUGAAUGUAAAGAAAAAACUAUUUUACUGAAAAUAAAUAAAA
rnacentral:lncRNA from 1 species